rnacentral:rRNA from 1 species
UACGUAGGGGGCAAGCGUUGUCCGGAAUCAUUGGGCGUAAAGCGCGUGUAGGCGGUUCGGUAAGUCGGCUGUGAAAGUCCAGGGCUCAACCCUGGGAUGCCGGUCGAUACUGCCGGACUAGAGUUCGGAAGAGGCGAGUGGAAUUCCCGGGGUAGCGGUGAAAUGCGCAGAUAUCGGGAGGAACACCAAGGGCGAAGGCAGCUCGCUGGGACGUUACUGACGCUGAGACGCGAAAGCGCGGGGAGCAAACAGG